GAUGAACGCUGGCGGCGUGCCUAAUACAUGCCAGUCGAGCGAACGGACGAGAAGCUUGCUUUUCUGAUGUUAGCGGCGGACGGGUGAGUAACACGUGGAUAACCUACCUAUAAGACUGGGAUAACUUCGGGAAACCGGAGCUAAUACCGGAUAAUAUUUUGAACCGCAUGGUUCAAAAGUGAAAGACGGUCUUGCUGUCACUUAUAGAUGGAUCCGCGCUGCAUUAGCUAGUUGGUAAGGUAACGGCUUACCAAGGCAACGAUGCAUAGCCGACCUGAGAGGGUGGUCGGCCACACUGGAACCUAGACACGGUCCAGACUCCUACGGGAAGGAGCAGUAGGGAAUCUUCCGCAAUGGGCGAAAGCCUGACGGAACAACGCCGGGUGGAGGAUGAAGGUCUUCGGGUCGGAAAACUCUGUUAUUAGGGAAGAACAUAUGUGUAAGUAACUGUGCACAUCUUGACGGUACCUAAUCAGAAAGCCACGGCUAACUACGUG
rnacentral:rRNA from 1 species